rnacentral:rRNA from 1 species
UACGUAGGGUGCGAGCGUUGCCCGGAUUUAUUGGGCGUAAAGGGCGCGUAGGCGGCCACGCACGUCCGUUGUGAAAUCGCCCGGCUCAACUGAGCGGGGUCAGCGGAUACGGCGCGGCUGGAGCAAGCUAGGGGGCAAUGGAAUUCCCGGUGUAGUGGUGGAAUGCGUAGAUAUCGGGAGGAACACCAGUGGCGAAGGCGGGUCUCUGGACAGUUCCUGACACUGAGGCACGAAGGCCAGGGGAGCAAACGGG